AAAAGUAAGUAAGGGCACAUGGCGGAUGCCUUGGCUCUCGGAGGCGAUGAAGGACGUGAUAAGCUGCGAUAAGCUGCGGGUAGGUGCAAAUGACCUUUGAUCCGCGGAUUUCCGAAUGGGACAACCCAAUAUCUUGAAGAGAUAUUAUCCAUCUUACGAUGGAGGCGAACGCAGGGAACUGAAACAUCUUAGUACCUGUAGGAAUAGAAAAUAAAUAAUGAUUCCCCAAGUAGUGGCGAGCGAACGGGGAAUAGCCCAAACCAUAUGUGUUACGGCAUGUAUGGGGUUGUAGGACCACGUUGUGGGACGAAAGUUAGUGAGUAGAAUGAUCUGGAAAGUUCAGUCAUAGACGGUGAUAACCCGGUAUACUAAGCUAAUUGAACCCUAGUGGUAUCCUGAGUAGCGCGGGACACGAGGAAUCUUGCGUGAAUCUGCCGGGACCAUCCGGUAAGGCUAAAUACUCCCGAGAGACCGAUAGCGAACCAGUACUGUGAAGGAAAGGUGAAAAGCACUUCGAAUAGAAGAGUGAAAUAGUCCCUGAAACCGUGCGCCUACAAGCGGUCGGAGCUGCUUAAGCAGUGACGGCGUGCCUUUUGCAUAAUGAACCUACGAGUUACUUUUUCCGGCAAGGUUAAGGAUCUUGAGAUCUGCAGCCGAAGCGAAAGCGAGUCUUAAUAGGGCGGAUAGUCGGAAGGAGUAGACGCGAAACCAAGUGAUCUACCCUUGGCCAGGUUGAAGGACAGGUAACACUGUCUGGAGGACCGAACCGAUAAGCGUUGAAAAGCUUCCGGAUGAGCUGAGGGUGGGGGUGAAAGGCUAAUCAAACUUGGAGAUAGCUCGUACUCCCCGAAAUGCAUUUAGGUGCAGCCUUGAUUUAUACUAAUAUGAGGUAGAGCGACUGAUAAGAUGCGAGGGCUUCACCGCCUAUCAAGUCUUGACAAACUCCGAAUGCGUGUCAGUUCUAUGUCAGGAGUGAGGGCAUGGGUGCUAAGGUCCAUGUCCUAAAGGAGAACAAUCCGGACCAACAGCUAAGGUCCCGAAAUGAAUACUAAGUUGAACUAACGAAGUCAGAUUGCUAAGACAGCUAGGAUGUUGGCUUGGAAGCAGCCAUUCAUUUAAAGAGUGCGUAACAGCUCACUAGUCGAGGAGUUUGGCGUGGAUAAUAAUCGGGCAUAAGUAUUCUACCGAAGCUUUGGGAUGAGAAAUCAUCGGUAGGGGAGCAUUCCACUCUGCGUCGAAGGUAAGGCGUGAGCCUUGCUGGAGCGUGUGGAAAAGCAAAUGUAGGUAUAAGUAACGAUAAAGGGGGUGGGAAACCCCCUCGCCGAAAGACUAAGGUUUCCUGAUCAACGCUAAUCGGAUCAGGGUAAGUCGGGUCCUAAGGCUCAGCCGAACGGCGAGGCCGAUGGCAGAACCGGUUAAUAUUCCGGUACUACCUUAAGGAGUGACGUGGAGACGGAGUCGUGACAGCGCCGCGGACUGACGGAAUAGUCCGUUGAAGGGUGUAGAUGUUGAUUGUUCCAGGCAAAUCCGGAACGAGAGUCGAACCUGACAGUAUGGAGCGUCCUUCUGGACAAUCCAAUAGUGCGUGUAAUCAUACUUCCAAGAAAAUCCGCUAAACUUAAUCCUUACGGUACCCGUACCGCAAACGGACACACGUAGUCGGGUUGAAUAUACUAAGGCGCUUGAGUGAUUCACGGUUAAGGAACUAGGCAAACUGACCCUGUAACUUCGGGAUAAAGGGUCCUCAAGCAAUUGAGGCGCAGAGAAUAGGUCCAGGCAACUGUUUAACAAAAACACAGGGCUGUGCAAAAUUGAAAGAUGAAGUAUACAGCCUGACACCUGCCCGGUGCUGGAAGGUUAAGAGGAGACGUCAUCGCAAGAGAAGCGUUGAAUUGAAGCCCCAGUAAACGGCGGCCGUAACUAUAACGGUCCUAAGGUAGCGAAAUUCCUUGUCGGGUAAGUUCCGACCUGCACGAAUGGUGUAAUGAUCUGGACGCUGUCUCA
rnacentral:rRNA from 1 species